rnacentral:lncRNA from 1 species
AAUUACAAAGUCGAAGCCCUAUAUACAGUAGCUACUCAGUCUGAUCAUUAAGCAGUUGCAGAUGCUGCCGAAAGGAAAGGAAGAAGAAGAAGAAUUCAAUUUUGCAAUUCGGUAUCGCAGGAUAGGGACACUUGGAAAGAGAAUGAAAAGAACCGGCCACUGCAGAGAGCCCCCAGUAAAGAAACAGAGGUGGAAGUUGAGUCACAGGUCUAAGAGAUUCUGUCUUCUCAAGAUUUGCACCAUCUAAUCAUCAAGCAAGCCCAGCAGGUAGUUUGAUGAGACAGGCUAGAUAUAUAUAGCACCUGAUCACUAGUUUUGAUGAUGUGUUGAAGCUGAUUUCUUAAUCUUGAUUUUGAAAUGUUCUCCUGCCGCUACAUCCUUCUCGUUAUCCGAGAUGAUUACUAUAACGUCGCCGGUCCUGAGACCCUUUUUACGAACAAAUGAAAACCAGUCCCCAGAAAGGGCUGGUUUUGAACUCCCUCUUGGUGACACUCUACAACGGAAGGUCCACACUUGCCCCUCCUCGUCUUUGAACUUCAAAUUUGCUUCAUGGUCUCCUUGGAAAUCUUUUAGACAAUUUUCUGGAAGCGUUAGUCUUCUCUGAACAUCGGUGCUGUCGAGUUUUUUUGUGAAGUUUUCCAUUGCUAGCUUCUUUUUUUUU